CGAGACGGUGAUGUCGCGCGCGAGGUAUUCCGCCGCGCCAUGCUUCCAGCUAACCGGGCUGAAUUUCGGGCCUUCACGCUGGAGGAAAUCGUCGACCAGACCUAUUGCAACACAGCUCGGGUAAGUCAUCUCCUCAUUUUACCCUUAACUAUCAGCGUUUCUUUCGCCUUUACUUAUAGUUGCUUUUCCUGCAGUAUAUCCACGAAGUUGAUACCCUGGUGU
rnacentral:lncRNA from 1 species